AGUCGUAACAAGGUUUCCGUAGGUGAACCUGCGGAAGGAUCAUUACCUAGAGUUUGUAGGGCUUUUGCCUGCUAUCUCUUACCCAUGUCUUUUGAGUACCUUCGUUUCCUCGGCGGGUUCGCCCGCCGAUUGGACAAUUUAAACCACUUGCAGUUGCAAUCAGCGUCUGAAAAAACAUAAUAAUUACAA
rnacentral:misc_RNA from 1 species